CCUACGGGGGGCUGCAGUAAGGAAUAUUGGACAAUGGCCGCAAGGCUGAUCCAGCCAUCCAGCGUGCAGGAAGAAGGCCCUAUGGGUUGUAAACUGCUUUUAUCAGGGAAUAAACCUCUGGAUUCACUCCGGAGCUGAAGGUACCUGAAGAAUAAGCACCGGCUAACUCCGUGCCAGCAGCCGCGGUAAUACGGAGGGUGCGAGCGUUAUCCGGAAUUACUGGGUUUAAAGGGUGCGUAGGCGGCUUUGUAAGUCAGGAGUGAAAGUUUGCGGCUCAACCGUAAAAUUGCUUCUGAUACUGCAUGGCUAGAAUUAGGAUGAGGUCAGCGGAAUGUGGCAUGUAGCGGUGAAAUGCAUAGAUAUGCCAUAGAACACCAAUUGCGAAGGCAGCUGGCUAGACCUGGAUUGACGCUGAGGCACGAAAGCGUGGGGAGCGAACAGGCUUAGAUACCCCAGUAGUC
rnacentral:rRNA from 1 species